rnacentral:lncRNA from 1 species
UUGGAUCAAGAUGGUGCGGAUCAAGAGACAUCAAGCUUCGUCUAAGAUGGUUCGGAUCAAGAUGGUGGGGGUGAACAGACAUCAACGCUCGACUACUAUUUCAUAGAGGUACAUUUUCUAUUUUUUACAACUUAGAUAGAUUGAAAGGUUGAUAAAUAUUUAGUUAGGCUCUGGAUGAUGUUGAUUUCGACUGUGUUCUGAACCGAAUUGAUUGUGCCUUUGGUUUGAUAGAUUGUGGUAAUUAAUGUAGUGGUUAGUGAUAUAUUGAACAUUGUCUUAGGUAAUAAAUAGAUGUAAGAAGUUAGAUAGAAAUGAAAGUUGAAGUUCGAGCUCAAACUUAAUGUGUUAGAUAAAUGUCUUCUCGAAAUGGUUGGGUGUUAUGCACGCUUUCAUCAAUGGUGAUCAAUGCUCUUUUCUUUCUUUCCUCCUUCUGUUCUAUAAAAAUGUAUCAUUCUUCUCUUCCUUCUAUCUAAAACCAAUUUCGAAACUUCUUGAUUUUUUUCUUCUUUCCUCCUUCCCUUCUAUAUGGAUUCCAAUUCAUAUACUCCUUGCUCAAACUUUGUUGACCUGCUGAAUAGUCAGCAGGACACUGUCUAUGGAUUGGUUGAUGACAGUGUCGAAGUUUCUUCCUCCCAAUUCUCUGUCUUUAGCAGUCAAGCAACACAAGAUGAGACCCCUGCAGAGCGUAAGGAAAGGAGGUCAUGGACGCCUAUAGAUGACGUAGCUCUCAUCAGCGCUUGGUUAAAUACAAGCAAAGAUCCAGUCGUAGCUAAUGAGCAACGCGCUGGUGCGUUUUGGAAGAGGAUAGCUGCCUACUUCGCGGCAAGUCCCAAGCUGGCAGGUUCUGAACCGCGGGAGUCUGAUCAUUGUAAGCAGCGUUGGCGGAAGAUCAACGACCAAGUGAACAAGUUUUGUGGGGCGUUUGAAGCUGCAAGUAGGGAGAAGAGGAGUGGCCAGAAUGAAAAUGAUGUUCUGAAACUUGCCCAUGAGAUCUUCUACAACAACCAUAAAAAGAAGUUCACUCUACAGCAUGCUUGGAAGGAGUUGAAGAAUGAUCAGAAAUGGUGUGAGUUGACUACUUCUAAAACCGAAGGCAGUGCUAAAAGAAGGAAGCUUGAUGACAGUGCACAAUCCUCUCACGCAUUUCAGACCACCACUGGUGAUGAGCAAGCUACCAACCGACCACCGGGUGUUAAGGCUUCAAAGGGCCGUGGUAAAAACCCACAGGCAGAUGGUAAGGGGGUCAAUGAUGUUGUUGUUUGUUAUUGCAGGUCACGGUGUGUACUAUUGAAGCAGAUGUGGUGUAAUGCACUAUUGAAGCAGAUGUGAUGACAGCUUCUGCUUCACGGUUGUGGUGUAAUGACAAGUAUAAGUUGUCAUUACAGUAUGUUUGUUGGGUGUUUGUGUCACGGUCACGGAUGUGGUGUAAUGCACGUUGUAUUAUUGAAGCAGAAGCUGUCUUUUUUUGUAUGUUUGUGUCACGGAUAAGUUGUAUGUUUGUGUCAUGGUUAAAGUUGUAUGUUUAUGUCA